rnacentral:rRNA from 1 species
ACGUACACUCCUGCGGGAGGCAGCAGUGGGGAAUAUUGCACAAUGGGCGCAAGCCUGAUGCAGCCAUGCCGCGUGUAUGAAGAAGGCCUUCGGGUUGUAAAGUACUUUCAGCGGGGAGGAAGGCGAUAAGGUUAAUAACCUUGUCGAUUGACGUUACCCGCAGAAGAAGCACCGGCUAACUCCGUGCCAGCAGCCGCGGUAGUACGGAGGGUGCAAGCGUUAAUCGGAAUUACUGGGCGUAAAGCGCACGCAGGCGGUCUGUCAAGUCGGAUGUGAAAUCCCCGGGCUCAACCUGGGAACUGCAUUCGAAACUGGCAGGCUAGAGUCUUGUAGAGGGGGGUAGAAUUCCAGGUGUAGCGGUGAAAUGCGUAGAGAUCUGGAGGAAUACCGGUGGCGAAGGCGGCCCCCUGGACAAAGACUGACGCUCAGGUGCGAAAGCGUGGGGAGCAAACAGGAUUAGAUACCCGGGUAGUCCCA